AGCAGCGUGGCUCAGUGGAAAGAGCACGGGCUUUGGACUCAGAGGUCAUGGGUUCGAAUCCCGGCUCGGCCA
rnacentral:tRNA from 1 species